rnacentral:rRNA from 1 species
GACGAACGCUGGCGGCGUGGAUUAGGCAUGCAAGUCGAACGGUAGGAUACCUUCGGGUAUCUGAGAGUGGCGAACGGGUGAGUAACACGUAGGUGAUCUACCCUCAAGAUUGGGGCAACCCAGGGAAACUUGGGCUAAUACCGGAUGAAAGCAGCAGUGAUGUUGUUUGAAAGGUGGCGUAAGCUGCCGUUUGGGGAUGAGCCUGCGCUCUAUUAGUUAGUUGGCGGGGUAAAGGCCCACCAAGGCGAUGAUAGAUAGGCGGCCUUAACGGGUGGUCGCCCACACUGGGAUUGAGAUACGGCCCAGACUCCUACGGGAGCAGCAGUCGAGAAUAGUCUACAAUGGCCAAAGGCUGAUAGUGCGACGCCGCGUGAACGAAGAAGCCCUUCGGGUGUAAAGUUCUUUUAAUGUGAGCAGUGCUUUCUAUGUGAACAGCAAUGGGGAAGAGAUAUUAGCAUAUGAAUAAGCAACGGCUAACUCGUCCAGCAGCCG